rnacentral:rRNA from 1 species
UGGGGAAUAUUGGACAAUGGGCGAAAGCCUGAUCCAGCCAUGCCGCGUGUGUGAAGAAGGUCUUCGGAUUGUAAAGCACUUUUAAGUUGGGAGGAAGGGUUGUAGAUUAAUACUCUGCAAUUUUGACGUUACCGACAGAAUAAGCACCGGCUAACUCUGUGCCAGCAGCCGCGGUAAUACAGAGGGUGCAAGCGUUAAUCGGAAUUACUGGGCGUAAAGCGCGCGUAGGUGGUUUGUUAAGUUGGAUGUGAAAUCCCCGGGCUCAACCUGGGAACUGCAUCCAAAACUGGCAAGCUAGAGUAUGGUAGAGGGUGGUGGAAUUUCCUGUGUAGCGGUGAAAUGCGUAGAUAUAGGAAGGAACACCAGUGGCGAAGGCGACCACCUGGACUGAUACUGACACUGAGGUGCGAAAGCGUGGGGAGCAAACAGGAUUAGAUACCCCCGUAGUCCCUGAGCGGGCUGGCAAGGCGCAU